UACGAAGGGGGCUAGCGUUGCUCGGAAUUACUGGGCGUAAAGGGAGCGUAGGCGGAUAGUUUAGUCAGAGGUGAAAGCCCAGGGCUCAACCCUUGGAAUUGCCUUUGAUACUGGCUGAUCUUGAGUGUGGGAGAGGUUAGCGGAACUCCGAGUGUAGAGGUGAAAUUCGUAGAUAUUCGGAAGAACACCAGUGGCGAAGGCGGCUAACUGGCCCAUUACUGACGCUGAGGCUCGAAAGCGUGGGGAGCAAACAGGG
rnacentral:rRNA from 1 species